GAGAGAAAGAAAGAAAGAAAGGAGGAAGGGAGGAAGGAAAGGAGGAAAAGAGAAUGGUAAAAGGGAGGAAUGCAAAGAAACAUGGAAAAUAAAGAGGAGAAGGAAGGAAGGAAAAAGAGGAAAGGAAGGGAGGGAGGGAGGAAGAAAAGGAGGGUGGGAGGAAGGGAGAAAAAAGGAAAGAAAGCAAGAACGUGAGAAAGAAAGAAUAUGAGAAAAGACGGAGGAAAAUGGAGGGAGAAAGGAAGGGAAGGAGGAGGGAAGGAAGAAUAAGAGGAAGGAAAGAAAGAAGGAAAGAAGGAAGGAAGGAGAAAAACAAAGAAAAGAAAGAAAGGAAAAGAAAAAAGAAAAGAAAAGGAAGAGGAAAAGAAGAAAGGAAGGAAGAAGGUAAGGGAAGGGAAGAGAAGAGAAAGGAAGAUGGAAAGAAGGAAGGAAGAACCCAAAUAUUAGAAAUUCUGGGUUUGUUAGAGAAUAUGCCAUACUGUUUUUUUUUUCACUUGAAAGGAAAGAGUAUCUGCCAUUGAAGAUCGGAUGUCUUGUUGGUGAUAUUGUUGUUCUUAUCUUCCACAUGAUUACUGAGUUUGUGUCUAGUGUUUCCAUUACUAAGACAAAAGUCUUGAAGUCUGCAAAUAUAAUUUUGGAUUUUUCUAGUUCACCUUUGAUUUCUUUCCUGUUUUACGUCAUGUAUUUGGAGGUUCUGUUGUUAGUUGCAUACCCUACUUAGUAGGAUAUUUACAUCUUCUUGAGAAUUGAUUAUUCUAUUAUCUAUUAUCUCUCAUCUCUGAUACUAUUUCUUGUUCCGAACUCUGUUGUGUCUAAUAUCAAUGUAGUCCUUCCACAGCCUUAUUUUAGUAUUUCCAUGAUAUAGCUUUCUCCAUAUCUUGAUGAUAACCUAUUUAUAUCUCUAUAUAUUUGGAGCAAGAUAUAAAAUUUAGACUUGAUUUUUUAAAGAUUUUUCAAGAUGUAAUUCUUAUUUCUUUUUGUUCUAUUUGACAUUCUCUGAGUUUUCCUAGAUUUGAAGUUUGAUUUUCUGUCACUUCUUUUAGAAUAUUUUUGGCAGUUAUUUUGAAAAAUUUUUCUUUUGCUCCAUUAUUUUUCCCUCUUUUCUUUUUGGGAUUUCAAUCAUAACUAGAGUAGGUAAUUUCAUCUCAGUCUUAUGCAGGUACUUUUUCUCAGGGUCUCACGAAUGUAGCAUUCUCACACUUCUGUUCUUUUCCUGGCUGUGUUGGUGAGCUCAGUGAUAUUCCUCCUUCACCUUCAAGAGCAGUUUUGUUUUGUUUUUCCUGUUUUCAUACUCCCAGCAUCAGGAGUAUUCUAUGUGUGGCAGUUUUUGUUGCCUUCCCCUACAUAUUAAGUGGAAUAUCUUGGUCUAUGUGGACUCUUAUAACAAAAUAACAUAAACUGGGUGACUAAAAAACAACAGAUAUUUCUUUUUUCACACUUCUUGAGGCUGUAAGAUCUCAGGCCAAGAUGCUUACAAAUUCAAUGUUGAUGAGACCCAAUUUCAUGGUUCAUAGAUGGUGCCUUCUUUCUAUGUCCUCACAUAGUGGGAGGCACACAAGAACUCUAUUGAGCUUCUUUUAUAAAGUCACUAAUCCCAUUCAUAAGGGCUCGGCCCCCAAGACCUCGUCACCUCCCAAGUGUUCUGCUCUCCCUGAUCUGUGUCAUAUACAGACUCUCUUGGAUUCCUUACCAAUUGCUUGAGAGAUCACAGUGGGUUUGUGGGGAAAAAGUUUUCAAGAUGAUGGAUCUUUCCCAACUUCUGCAGCUGUCAGCCAUCUCCCAAUCUCACCAGCCCCACUUUGUCUUUAGGAAUUUAUUGAUUAUUCCAGCUUUACUUGUCAUAGUGGUGUCUAUUUGCAUCUGUCCUAUGUAAGUGCAUCUGUCCUUUUUCUCCUUGCAGGUGC
rnacentral:lncRNA from 10 species